rnacentral:lncRNA from 1 species
UCAUAUGAAUGAGUGGAUAUCCAAAUCUUUUCUGUCUGUACAUCCUGUUUAAUUAUGUUAUAUUUUUCCAUGCGCAAAACAUUAUUACCUCUACGCCGUUUGUUGUUCCUUAUUAUAGAAAAAUCGAUUUUCAGUUACAAUUAACUUCAUGGAAUUGCAUAUAUUGAACAGAUAAUGUUAUAUUACUAUUGAAAAACGUGAGACACAUUGCUGUAGACAGAGCUAGUAGCUGGAAUCAAAAUUUGAAAACAUAAAAUCAGGUCAAAAUGAGGGCGAAGUAAAGACGAAUUAAAGCGAUACAAGAGGUCCAAGGCGACUCUUUGCAGCGGCAGGUUAACACUAGUAUUUACGUCAAAAGAAGUACAUCAGGUAUCACAGGUACAACAGAGUAAUGGCUGAAGGUUAUCCUGAUAAAGGAAAGGUUUUUAAACUGACAGAUUCGACAGGUUCAAAAAAGACAAUCGUAAAGUAUCAAUAUAACUACAAGGAAUUCUCACUAAAAUGUAA